CAAACACAAGUGUUAAUAGUAAAGGGGAUCAUGUCACCUUUAGGGGACUAUCUGUGCUUUUCAAAGUGAAUUUAAAGGCCCUACACAC
rnacentral:snoRNA from 1 species